GACGAACGCUGGCGGCGUGCCUAAUACAUGCAAGUCGAACGAACCGCGACUAAGUGCUUGCACUAAGUCAAGGUGAGUGGCGAACGGGUGAGUAACACGUGGGUAACCUACCUCAUAGUGGGGGAUAACAGUCGGAAACGACUGCUAAUACCGCAUAGGACAUAGGAUCACAUGAUCCAGUGAGGAAAGGUGGCGCAAGCUAUCGCUAAGAGAUGGACCCGCGGGGAAUUAGCUAGUUGGUAGGGUAAAGGCCUACCAAGGCGAUGAUGCAUAGCCGACCUGAGAGGGUGAUCGGCCACAUUGGGACUGAGACACGGCCCAAACUCCUACGGGAGGCAGCAGUAGGGAAUCUUCCGCAAUGGACGCAAGUCUGACGGAGCAACGCCGCGUGAGUGAAGAAGGUCUUCGGAUCGUAAAGCUCUGUUGUUAGAGAAGAACAGCGCAUAGAGUAACUGCUAUGCGUGUGACGGUAUCUAACCAGAAAGCCACGGCUAACUACGUG
rnacentral:rRNA from 1 species